rfam:Candidatus Zambryskibacteria bacterium RIFCSPHIGHO2_02_FTLL_43_37 rifcsphigho2_02_scaffold_291, whole genome shotgun sequence.
GCCCAGAUAGCUCAGUUAGUAGAGCAUUCCCCUGAAGAGGGAAGGGUCGUCAGUGCAAAUCUGACUCUGGGCA